GCUAGGUGUGGUGGCUCAUGCCUGUAAUCCCAGUGAUUUGGGAGGCUGAGGCAGGAGGACCACAGGUUUGAAGACAGCCUCAUCAAUUUAGUGAGGCUAUAAGCAACCUAGUAAGACCCUGUUUCAA
rnacentral:sRNA from 1 species